rfam:Delta proteobacterium MLMS-1 ctg990, whole genome shotgun sequence.
UGGUCGCGAGGGCUGUAUUCGGCGGUCCGCUGGGGAUAAAACCUCACCCGGCUA